UGGGACAGGUGGGAAUCAAUCUAAGACACAGGAACAUGUGGGACAGGUGAGAAUCAAUCAAAGACACAAGAACAUGUGGGACAGGUGAGAAUCAAUCUAAGACACAAGAACAUGUGGGACAGGUGAGAAUCAAUCUAAGACACAAGAACAUGUGGGACAGGUGAGAAUCAAUCUAAGACACAAGAACAUGUGGGACAGGUGAGAAUCAAUCAAAGACACAAGAACAUGUGGGACAGGUGAGAAUCAAUCAAAGACACAAGAACAUGUGGGACAGGUGAGAAUCAAUCAAAGACACAGGAACAUGUGGGACAGGUGGGAAUCAAUCAAAGACACAAGAACAUGUGGGACAGGUGAGAAUCAAUCGAAGACACAGGAACAUGUGGGACAGGUGAGAAUAAAUCUAAGACACAAGAACAUGUGGGACAGGUGAGAAUCAAUCUAAGACACAAGAACAUGUGGGACAGGUGAGAAUCAAUCUAAGACACAGGAACAUGUGGGACAGGUGAGAAUCAAUCAGACACAGGAACAUGUGGGACAGGUGAGAAUCAAUCUAAGACACAGGAACAUGUGGGAAUCAAUCUAAGACACAAGAACAUGUGGGACAGGUGAGACACUGAGGCCCUGUCCAGAAACAUAUCCCCCUCCCUGGAAAGCAGUCCCAGUUGUCACUCAGUGGAAACUCCUGGCUAAAUAAAAUAAAUAUGAAAUCAUCCCCUAUCCCUCAGGGCUCCUUCACUAUCCAGCCGUAGCCUCAUGUUGAAUGUAU